rnacentral:rRNA from 1 species
UACAGAGGUGGCAAGCGUUGUUCGGAAUUACUGGGCGUAAAGGGCGCGUAGGCGGUUCGUUAAGUCCGCUGUGAAAGUCCAGGGCUCAACCCUGGGAUGCCGGUGGAUACUGUCGGGCUCGAGUCCGGAAGAGGAGUGUGGAAUUCCUGGUGUAGCGGUGAAAUGCGCAGAUAUCAGGAGGAACACCAAUGGCGAAGGCAGCACUCUGGGACGUGACUGACGCUGAGACGCGAAAGCGUGGGGAGCAAACAGG